GAAAGAACUGUUGGACAUAUCCUUAGGCUGGGAUGAUGAACUGUUUUGUGCCCAGAGCAAUGGUACACCCAAGUAACCAGAGACGUAUUUCACUGCCAUGGCUCAUUGAUGUUUCAGGAGUAAAGUUGCUUCUUCGAGGCUGUAUCAGAUCAUGAAGCUUGAACUCUUUUUGAGUAGGCACCUAGUUCGCAUCAGAGUUACAUCCCAACUGGGUAACCCUUUUUUGUUGUGUGUAUGUAGUAUGUACAUACAAUACCUGCGAAUCUUCUCGUUCCUUUCAUGCAACCUCAAGAGUUAUCUCUGAAAAAUUGUCAAUAGGCAAGGUUCAGGGUGUGGACAUGUAAACUUUUGUUCUACCCUUGUACAGAUCUAUAUAAUCUGUCACUUUUCUUGGGUA